rnacentral:rRNA from 1 species
CUGCGAAUGGCUCAUUAUAUCAGUUAUAGUUUAUUUGAUGAAAAGUACUACUUGGAUAACCGUAGUAAUUCUAGAGCUAAUACAUGAUAAAAUCCUCGACUUUGAAGAGGUGUAUUUAUUAGAAUGAAACCAAUAGACUUCGGUCUGUUUGUGAGUAAUAAUAACUAAUCGUAUCGCAUGCUUAGGUAGCGAUAUGUCUUUCAAGUUUCUGCCCUAUCAGCUUUGGAUGGUAGUGUAUUGGACUACCAUGGCAGUAACGGGUAACGAAGAAUUUGGGUUCGAUUUCGGAGAGGGAGCCUGAGAGAUGGCUACCACAUCCAAGGAAGGCAGCAGGCGCGUAAAUUACCCAAUCCUGACAUAGGGAGGUAGUGACAAUAAAUCACAAUGCGGAACUAUUAGUUUUGCAAUUGGAUUGAGAACAAUGUACAAAUGUUAUCGAUAAACAAUUGGAGGGCAAGUCUGGUGCCAGCAGCCGCGGUAAUUCCAG